AAUUAUGUAUUAGCAUUGAGUAGUAUUUGUUAUGCGUGCAUACUUUAUAGCAUAAAUUCCAAACGAAAAUAUCCAAGCCCACUGGGAACUCUAUCUUGAAAACAAAUACGAUAGUGAAAAUCGGUCAUCCACUGAACAAAAACCAACCGCAUCCGUUCGUCCUCACACACCGACACUCGUCAACGUCCGUGAGGAGUAUUAAAUUGACCGGCGUUGGAAAAAGUCAGUGCCCAGUCUGCCGGAGUGAAACCGCGUGAAAGUGUACUUUAAGAUUGGUCAGAAAGCCAACAAGGCUAAGGCUUCAGUCAGAUCCCAGUUAGAACCGCCAAGCGCCACCGAAUCAGUAAAUUGUCCCAGAGCAUCAACACGGUACUGCGCAGUUUGGAAGCAGAAAAACUGUUCGGAAAAUCCAACAAAAGGAAAACGAGGCGUGAUCCCCAAAAGUACCGUCGGGAUUCAUUAGGCGGCACCAACGAUACGCCCACGUGCAAAUCCAACACGGAGAUCAAGGGUAGAGGCACGUCCAAGCCGAUCAGCACAUCAAACGGACCACGGACGGAAUCAUUGACUCCGAGCACGCACUUCGGUCCUCGAGCUGUUUGGACGGUCUGAGCCAGCUUAACUGCAACUAGCACUUAGGGGAAGACGGGGUAAGACCGCCCGCCUAAGCAAUUUA